GUACAUGAACUUAUAAGACGAGUA
rnacentral:miRNA from 1 species